GGUGGCUCAGUGGUAGAGUGCUUGCCUUGCAUGCAUGAGGCCGUGGGUUCAAUUCCUCAGCACCA
rfam:Dipodomys ordii contig_35837, whole genome shotgun sequence.